CAAAUCGGAUAAUCGCGCGAUGAAAGACUCGUGAGGAAGGUCCAUGCCCGCCCAAUCUGAGAUGACUGGAGUGUUUGUACUGAGCCUAAUAAGCGAAGGCAGUUAUUUUAACUGACGGCUAGCAAAAGGACUAAAGCUUAGCCAUGUCCAAUUAGCUUAUAAAAGUGCUAUAGCGACGAAUAACCGGAAAACCGGCGAAGUGAGACGACGUAAACCCUGCAAGCGGGCAACCCAAACUUUUUGGUAGGGGCGGUCAAUUUAGCUAAUUGAAGUAAAAAUUGACACCGGUUUUAUCCGGUAGAUAGAUGAUUGUCGAAGAACUUGAUUGCCAAUCUCGUUUGGAACAUAACAUGGCCUAUAGAU
rnacentral:RNase_P_RNA from 1 species